AGUGAACGCUGGCGGUAGGCCUAACACAUGCAAGUCGAACGGCAGCACAGUAAGAGCUUGCUCUUACGGGUGGCGAGUGGCGGACGGGUGAGGAAUACAUCGGAAUCUACUUUUUCGUGGGGGAUAACGUAGGGAAACUUACGCUAAUACCGCAUACGACCUACGGGUGAAAGCAGGGGAUCUUCGGACCUUGCGCGAUUGAAUGAGCCGAUGUCGGAUUAGCUAGUUGGCGGGGUAAAGGCCCACCAAGGCGACGAUCCGUAGCUGGUCUUAGAGGAUGAUCAGCCCCACUGGAACUGAGACACGGUCCAGACUCCUACGGGAGGCAGCAGUGGGGAAUAUUGGACAAUGGGCGCAAGCCUGAUCCAGCCAUACCGCAUGGGUGAAGAAGGCCUUCGGGUUGUAAAGCCCUUUUGUUGGGAAAGAAAAGCAGCAGGUUAAUACCCCGCUGUUCUGACGGUACCCAAAGAAUAAGCACCGGCUAACUUCGUG
rnacentral:rRNA from 1 species